rnacentral:rRNA from 1 species
CCUACGGGAGGCAGCAGUGAGGAAUAUUGGUCAAUGGCCGUAAGGCUGAACCAGCCAAGUAGCGUGAGGGAAGAAUGCCCUAUGGGUUGUAAACCUCUUUUAUGCGGGGGUACAGGUUUCCACGUGUUGAUGUUUGCAUGUACCUCAUGACUAAGGACCGGCUAAUUCCGUGCCAUCAGCCGCGGUACUACGGAGGGUCCGGGCGUUUUCCGGAUUUAUUGGGUUUAAGGGGAGCGUAGUCCGGUCUUUAAGCGGGCCGUGAAAUUUUGUGGCUCAACCAUGAGAGUGCGGCGCGAACUGGAGACCUGGAGUGCGCGGAAGGCAGGCGGAAUUCGUGGUGUAGCGGUGAAAUGCUUAGAUAUCACGAAGAACCCCGAUUGCGAAGGCAGCCUGCCGAAGCGUGACUGACGCUGAAGCGCGAAAGCGCGGGGAUCGAACAGGAUUAGAUACCCUAGUAGUC